rfam:Rattus norvegicus chromosome 20, whole genome shotgun sequence.
GGGGAUUUGGCUCAGUGGUAGAGCGCUUCCCUAGGAAGCGCAAGGUCCUGGGUUCAGUCCCCA